rnacentral:rRNA from 1 species
UGGAUCCAGACUUUGAUCAUGGCUCAGGAUGAACGCUAGCUACAGGCUUAACACAUGCAAGUCGAGGGGAAACGACAUCGAAAGCUUGCUUUUGAUGGGCGUCGACCGGCGCACGGGUGAGUAACGCGUAUCCAACCUGCCCACCACUUGGGGAUAACCUUGCGAAAGUAAGACUAAUACCCAAUGAUAUCUCUAGAAGACAUCUGAAAGAGAUUAAAGAUUUAUCGGUGAUGGAUGGGGAUGCGUCUGAUUAGCUUGUUGGCGGGGUAACGGCCCACCAAGGCAACGAUCAGUAGGGGUUCUGAGAGGAAGGUCCCCCACAUUGGAACUGAGACACGGUCCAAACUCCUACGGGAGGCAGCAGUGAGGAAUAUUGGUCAAUGGACGAGAGUCUGAACCAGCCAAGUAGCGUGCAGGAUGACGGCCCUAUGGGUUGUAAACUGCUUUUAUAAGGGAAUAAAGUGAGUCUCGUGAGACUUUUUGCAUGUACCUUAUGAAUAAGGACCGGCUAAUUCCGUGCCAGCAGCCGCGGUAAUACGGAAGGUCCGGGCGUUAUCCGGAUGUAUUGGGUUUAAAGGGAGCGUAGGCCGGAGAUUAAGCGUGUUGUGAAAUGUAGACGCUCAACGUCUGCACUGCAGCGCGAACUGGUUUCCUUGAGUACGCACAAAGUGGGCGGAAUUCGUGGUGUAGCGGUGAAAUGCUUAGAUAUCACGAAGAACUCCGAUUGCGAAGGCAGCUCACUGGAGCGCAACUGACGCUGAAGCUCGAAAGUGCGGGUAUCGAACAGGAUUAGAUACCCUGGUAGUCCGCACGGUAAACGAUGGAUGCCCGCUGUUGGUCUGAAUAGGUCAGCGGCCAAGCGAAAGCAUUAAGCAUCCCACCUGGGGAGUACGCCGGCGACGGUGCAACUCAAAUGAAUUGACGGA